rnacentral:rRNA from 1 species
GAUGAACGCUGGCGGCGUGCCUAAUACAUGCAAGUCGAGCGAAUGGAUUAAGAGCUUGCUCUUAUGAAGUUAGCGGCGGACGGGUGAGUAACACGUGGGUAACCUGCCCAUAAGACUGGGAUAACUCCGGGAAACCGGGGCGAAUACCGGAUAACAUUUUGAACCGCAUGGUUCGAAAUUGAAAGGCGGCUUCGGCUGUCACUUAUGGCUGGACCCGCGUCGCAGUAGCUAGUUGGUGAGGUAACGGCUCACCAAGGCAACGAUGCGUAGCCGACCUGAGAGGGUGAUCGGCCACACUGGGACUGAGACACGGCCCAGACUCCUACGGGAGGCAGCAGUAGGGAAUCUUCCGCAAUGGACGAAAGUCUGACGGAGCAACGCCGCGUGAGUGAUGAAGGCUUUCGGGUCGUAAAACUCUGUUGUUAGGGAAGAACAAGUGCUAGUUGAAUAAGCUGGCACCUUGACGGUACCUAACCAGAAAGCCACGGCUAACUACGUGCCAGCCGCCGCAGUAA